UACAGAGGGGGGCAAGCGUUAUUCGGAAUUAUUGGGCGUAAAGGGCGCGUAGGCGGCUUGGUAAGUCCGCUCUGAAAGCCCGGGGCUCAACCACGGAAUGGCCUUCGAUACUGGUAGGCUUGAGACCGGAAGAGGACAGCGGAACUGCGAGUGUAGAGGUGAAAUUCGUAGAUAUUCGCAAGAACACCGGUGGCGAAGGCGGCUCGCUGGGCCAGUUCUGACACUCAUCCGCGAAAGCGUGGGGAGCAAACAGG
rnacentral:rRNA from 1 species